UUAAGUUCUGAUAAGUCUUAAUUAGAAAUAGUUUAAUAUCAGAAUUUAAGCUUUGGGAGUUUAAGG
rnacentral:tRNA from 1 species